rnacentral:rRNA from 1 species
AAGUCGUAACAAGGUUUCCGUAGGUGAACCUGCGGAAGGAUCAUUAAUGAGUUGUGAUGGGGUUUGAUGCUGGCAGCCAAAUUUUGGAUGCAUGUGCUUGCCCUGACAAUCAUCUUCCAAACACCUGUGCACAUUUUUGAGGGAGUUUCGAGUUAAUUGCCACUUUUGGUGAUUUUCUCGCGUUCCCUUAAAUUUUAUUAUACGCUGUUAACAAAUGCUGAACGUGCUUUGUGCCGCAAGGCCCUUAAUAUAAUACAACUUUUAACAACGGAUCUCUUGGCUCUCGCAUCGAUGAAGAACGCAGCGAAAUGCGAUAAGUAAUGUGAAUUGCAGAAUUCAGUGAAUCAUCGAAUCUUUGAACGCACCUUGCGCUCCCUGGUAUUCCGGGGAGCACGCCUGUUCGAGUGUCGUGAAAUUUCUCAAGCUUGGAUGGCUUUUUUGUCCGUCCUUAGCCUUGGUUGUUGGGCUUUGCCGUGCCCUUCAUUGGGACGGCUGGCCUUAAAAGCAUUAGCUGAUCCUCGUGUGGCACUGGUUCUACUCAGCGUGGUAAUAGUCUGAUCGCUGAGGACAUCCUUUGGGAUGGCCAGUCCUCAUUUGGGUUGCUUCUAAACCUGGUCUUGCAGAUUCUUCAAUCUGUGUUCCACUUUUCAGCUUUGACCUCGAAUCAGGUGGGACUACCCGCUGAACUUAA